AACGAACGCUGGCGGCAGGCCUAACACAUGCAAGUCGAGCGCGCCCUUCGGGGUGAGCGGCGGACGGGUGAGUAACGCGUGGGAACGUGCCCUUUGCUACGGAAUAGUCUCGGGAAACUGGGGGGUAAUACCGUAUGUGCCCUUCGGGGGAAAGAUUUAUCGGCAAAGGAUCGGCCCGCGUUGGAUUAGGUAGUUGGUGGGGUAAUGGCCCACCAAGCCGACGAUCCAUAGCUGGUUUGAGAGGAUGAUCAGCCACACUGGGACUGAGACACGGCCCAGACUCCUACGGGAGGCAGCAGUGGGGAAUCUUAGACAAUGGGCGCAAGCCUGAUCUAGCCAUGCCGCGUGAGCGAUGAAGGCCUUAGGGUUGUAAAGCUCUUUCGUGGGGGAAGAGUAAUGGACUGGUACCCCAAGAAGAAGCCCCGGCUAACUCCGUG
rnacentral:rRNA from 1 species